rnacentral:lncRNA from 1 species
AACUUGUCGGAAAGUUCGUUUUUCGUCCCUCAAAAAAAUUCCAUACUUUUUUGCUCCCUUAAUUUUCAAAACCGGACAUUUUUAGUCACUCAGUCCAUCCAAAAUGGUUUUCCUAGCCAUAUGUCUGGUUUUCGCAUAAUUUUUUCAUUUAUUUUUUUCAAUCAAGAUAUGGAUGAUGCAGAUGGAGGAGAAGUACAACCAGUGCCUGGACGAGAUCCAAAACACAACGACGUCCAAUUUCAACAGCCUCGGCGGUCACGGGCUUAAGUGCAAACCGGACACGUGGUUAGACAAACCGUUUCGGAUAGCCUUAAAGACUAAA